GACGAACGCUGGCGGCGUGCUUAACACAUGCAAGUCGAACGGAAAGGCCUGCUUUCCCUUGUGGAUUGCGGGUCCUCGAGUGGCCAACGGGUGAGUAACACGUGAGUGAUCUGCCCCCAACUUGGGUAUAAGCCUGGGAAACUGGGUCUAAUCCCCGAUAGGACUGCAGGGUGGUGCCUGUGGUGGAACACGAUUUUCUAGUGGUUGGGGAUGAGCUCGCGGCCUAUCAGCUUGUUGGUGGGGUAAUGGCCUACCAAGGCGGCGACGGGUAGCCGGCCUGAGAAGGUGGACGGUCACAUUGGGACUGAGAUACGGCCCAGACUGCGACGGGAGGCAGGAGUGGGGAAGAGAGUGCAAUGAGCGGAAGCCUGAGGCAGCGACGUCGCGUGGGGGAUGACGGGCUUCGGGUAGUAAACUCCUUUCGACCGCGAGGAAGCCAGCUGGUUGGAAGGGUGGUGACGGUAGUGGUAGAAGAAGCACCGGCCAACUACGUG
rnacentral:rRNA from 1 species